GGAAUGUGUGGAAACCUUCUAUUUUAUUAAUUAGCCUUACUUUCCCCUGAAAUAGUCUAUUUUGAUGGGUAGGUUAUUAUCCUUUCCCUGGGUCAAUUCUCAUUUUCCAGGAAUUAUUUUCUUCAGAAAUUUUUUUCACUACUUUUUUCUUUUUGCCAAUUCUGAUUUUUUAAAAGAAUUGGCGUCUUUCUCAAAUAUUUUGUGCCUCCAUUACCACAAUGUUGAAUUUCUUUUCAUUAUGUUCUUGGAUUUUUCUCAUUAAUUUUCUCAGUUUUUUGUUUUCUGGUCUUAUUUUAUUUUUAAAAUACAAUUUUUGUUUCUUUUUAAAAUCUUUCUUUAGCUCUUUUAGGAGCUAUUGUUGGAUUUCUGUCCAAUCUCCACUUUUCGUGGAGGCUUUUUGUAGUCAUUGUCUUUUUCUGAAUUUGUAUCUUGAACUUCUCUGUCACCUUAGUAAUUAUAUUUAUGAUUGGAUUCUUUUGGUUUGCUCAUUUUUUAGCAUAUUUCUUGACUAUACCUUAGAUUAGAGUUGGGCACAAUCACCAGUUUUUGAGUUAAUACUCAAAUAAUACAGUUUGCUAAGAAAAAUAAAACUUGGAGGGUAUUAAAUUUGCUGACAGGCCACUUUGACUUUAAGCCUGUAACCCAAAAGUUUCUACCAAGCCCACCACACCCUGCUGCAUGUAAGCAUAAGACAAUCAGGAGGUGGAGGUCUGCCUUUGAGGUAUCUUAUAAUACAGAAGGUGGAGGUCUGCCCUUGGGGUACCUGCUAGGUGCAAUGACUACAUCAGUCUUGGGGCUGAUGACUCCUAACAUUAAUAGGAAAUUGUCAGCAAAAACAAUUAACCUCUGACCUUUUAUUGAGAGAACUUAGAAAGGUCAGUCAUAUAACUGAUAUUAGUUACCUCACAUAGUGAUGAUUUCUGUACUUUCUAGCUUACUAUGCACUUGCAGCAUUAAGAACUGCCCAUGUGAAAGAUUUAUUUUCACCCCACUUUAAUUUCUAUUGUAUUUUCUCUCUUUAAUAUGGUACUAUGUCAUCAGAUUUUCCUAAGACUUGGGGUCUUUAGUCUUGAUCUUGACCACAGUCACCCUGCUUCCAGUAAACCUAUUAUUUUCUUGGAGACUGUAUUGGUGUGAUAAUUUUUCACCACAAAAUGUGAAUUAAAACAACUCUGAGGUACCCACUACACAUCUAUUAGAUUAGCAAAUAUGAAGUAAAGGAAAAUAAUAAAUAAUGUACAGUCUGGCAUAAUUGGGACACUAAUGUCUUGCUGGGGGAGUUGCAAACUGAUCCAACCAUUCUGCAGGGCAAUUUGGAAUUAUGCCCAGUAAGACCACUACUAGGUCUGAAAUCCAAAGAGACUUAAAAAAAUGGGAAAGGACAUGGUUGUACAAAAAUAGUUAAAGCUGCCCUUUUUGUGGUGGCAAAGAAAUGGAAACUAAAGGGACAUCCCUCAAUUUGGGAAUGGCUGAACAAAUUGUGGCAUAUGAUGGUGACAGAAUACUAUUGUGCUCUGACAUAAACAGGAGGAUGAUCUCAGAAAGAGUUGGAAAGACCUACAUUAAUUGAUGCACUGAAAUGAACAGAACCAGGAAAACAUUAUAAACAGUAACAGCAAUAGUGUGGAAUGAUCAAAUUUGAUAGACUUAGCUGCUCUCAGUGAUACAAUGAUUCAGACAGCAUUUUAGAUAGGCAGUAGGGAAGGAGUCAGCAGACAGAGACUGAGAAUAAGUCAGAGUGUGGGGACAGAUUCCAGUUCCAUUGUCAUGUGGACCAUUUCAACUAUUUCAGGUCCUGAGCUCUGUGGCUCUCAGGCUCAGUAAGAAUUCCAUUAUCUGCUUGUUUUCUUAUUGGUGGUUUGGAAAGUGAAGCCUGACUUCAGAUCUAUACUCAAAUGCAUUUUCUCUCUUUUCUUUCCUGUCCAAUUUGGAUUUCUUAUUUUUUUAAUUUAAUUUAAUUUAAUUUUAUUUUUUUGGUUACAAUACUCACUUUAUUUCCCUCCCUCCUCUCCACCCACACUUCCCACAGCCAAGGCGCAAUUUCAUUGGCUAUUACUUGUGUCCUUGAUCAGAACCUAUUUCAAUAAUGUUGUUUGCACUAGGAUGUUCAUUUAGAGUCUACAUCCCCAACCAUAUCCCUUUGACCCAUGGAUUCAAGCAGUUGAUUUUCUCCUGUGUUUUACUCCCACAGUGUUUCCUCUGGAUGUGGAUAGUGCUUUUUCUCAUCCAAAUUGGAUUUCAGAAUCUAAAACAAGGCUUACUUUGUGCAUAUUUCCCCCAUACUUUUGUCACUUCUGUCAUCCAUGGUUGUGAAUCUUUUUUUUUAAUGUCCCCAGGAUAAGGUCAGGAGUUGAAUCAAAGGGAUGUUAAUAGUAGAAAUUUCUGGGGCAACAAGGAAGGUGUUGGGUUCUUAUGAAUUCAACAGGAGCUCCUAUUACAAUUUUCCAAGUUAAAGAAAUCCAGGGUACACCUGUGCAUCCCUGCUCAACCUAGGUAACUUCCUUUUCAAUUGCAAAGAUUUUUAUUGGUCUUUGACUCAUCCUCAUUUGCUAACAUAUGUAGGCAGAAAGUGAUGGUGAAUGCAAAUAUUCCAUAACCUUGGGAAUGGGUUCAAGCCUCUUAUUCCUCAUCACUUCUUUUAUUGUCCUUUCAGGAUUCAUCAGGAAUCCAGAUUCUAUCUAGGCUAACUGUCUUUCUACUGAGAGCCAUGAUCCCACUUAGUAUGGGAAUAGAGUGUAUUGUUCCAUCAGGCAAAGUGUUGCCGUCAAAUAAAAAGAAAAUAAUAGCUAAGAGUGCCUGGUAAUUCUCACUUAGAUUCCUUGGUUCUUUAAUGGCUCAGCUUAAGCACCAAGAGUACACUACCAAAUGUUUCUUCAUUCCUCAACUUCUUCCCUAGUAACUUCUUUCCUAGAAUUACCCUGUAUUUGUUUUUUAGUUCAUCUUAGCAUAUAUACAUUAUUUUUUGUUUAGUGGUAUCAAAUGCAAAUGGAAAUGGAAACCAUGAAACAGUACAUUAGAAUCUGUAGACAUCAUGUUGACUUAGAGAAUCCUCUAGUCAUAUUACCUAUAUUUCAUUUUUUAUAUUCUGUUAACUAGUUACCAAUUACAUUUCAAUCUUGUCUACCAUGUCACUCUUUGGUGCGUGGCACUGUUUCACACCUCUGGACUAAGCCAUGUCAUUCCCCUAGAGGGCAGGAACUGGUUGCACUAAUAAAUAUUUGUUGGUUGACUGGAUUGAUAGGUACAAUUGGGUACAUCCUUUUUGUUGCUAGGGAAGCUUGUUAUGAAACGUAGGGAAUGAAAUUACAUAAGUCUCAACUGAAAGAAAAAGAAGUCUGCAUAUCAAAUGUAAUGAAGGUAGUAAAAUGGAAAGACAAGGUAGAUCUGGGCUGAGGUAUCUGUCAAUUUUUGCUGGUGCUUUUUGAGUGCUGGCUAACGAUUAUAAGUUUUAAAGCAAAUGAAAAGUUUAUUCAGGAUAAAGAAUCUGUUGUUUCCUCAUAGGGCCAAACACUCAGCCAAUAAAAGAUGAUUACAUCACAGAGCACUUAUGAUAUGUCACAUCACCAAGGUAACAGGAGGGAUGGUGAUAAACAAAGGGUGGAGCCUGGGGAGAUCAUUUCUGAAAAGAAAAAGAUGAGUGAUAAAGUAGAGAACAAGGAAUACAAGAUGAAAGCAUGUGAUAGAUCUAUUGUGAAUUGACUGUAUGUUCAUCAAAUGAGAGAACAAAUGGAGCACUUUCAAAAUCAGAAGAAGCAAAGCAAUAAAGAAGUACUGAAUUUUCUGGUGAUAAACUAAGAAGAAAAAGCAAAUAUGAACACAUGUGAUACUUGAAGAAGAGAAAUUUAUUCUUGUGCAAGGAGCUUGAUAUCUUUUAAUCUUCUCUGGAAAAAAUGAUGCAAAGAAGAGUCGAACAAUUAGAUUUAUUUUUGCUUAUUUCAUAUGUAUACUAUUCUUCAAGCAUUUUUCUAUUUUUGUAAAGUAUCUUUUAUUAUAACAAUAAAGGUUGAAUAUAUAUGAAUAUAUAAUAUAUAUG